UCAUUGAGAAUUUCGUAUCACCG
rnacentral:siRNA from 1 species